ensembl:snoRNA
AUGGCCCUGAAUCAAGGCCAGCAGCUUCCUGAUGCUAUUGGUUUCAAACAGGAGCCUAAACAGAUAUCUUUCUAUGGUCUGUUGGCCAUUUCAGAACUUGGGCAGUGAAAUGAUCAAUUCAUUAGAAAGAAAUAGCU